AGAUGAGUAUUUUGCUUCAAAGGCAGAGUUUGCCUGCCUUUGUUUUUCUCACCUAAAAGUACAAUAGUAAUUUGCUUCCUACUUCAUGCCUUCUGAUUGAAACCCGUCAGUGGGUUCAUAAAAGGGAAUCUAUUUCUGAGUUGCUUUCACAUCUCUUGUCAUUCCAAGCAUGUCAGAGGGAUUGAGCAUUUUUUAAAUGUUGUCGCUUCUCUACUUCGCAACAUAUAUACAUACACACUCACACAUAACCAAACGUGAGCGUACGGUGGGUAUCUCUUGUGGGGAACGAGAGCACGUUCUGAGGUGCUGCAGUGUAUCUGUAGGGGUGACAGCCGCUGUGCCUCCUGCCACCUCUGUGGCCAGGGCAUCCGCAGCUCUAAGAGUCGUGCUCUGGGACCCCCUCCAACCCCAUCCCCAGGGCUGCGGUCCACGUGGAGCUGAGCAGCGGAGGUAUCAGAACCUUUGACAGGCACCGUCAUCCUCUCCCUGGCUGUUCGUCAGUUCUAGGAUUUUACACACCUCUUCCACAGGAGUUUUGGGGUUGUCAGACUGGGAAUACUGCUCACAAACAAGGCUCAGAAGGCAUCCUGUUUCCAUCAACCCCCUUCUGACUGCUGGACCAGACUGGACAUCACCAGACAGCCACAGUCACAGAGGUACAGACACAGGAUGGAGUGAGAGCAGUUGGCAUUGUGAAAACACUGCCUAUAUCACCCCCAAUCUGAAUAAAUACUGUCUGUUCUCGUCCCAGUUUUCCAGACCACCCUGGGGCAGCUACCCCUGGAAUGGAGAUGUCUCUGCAGGACAUAUCAGAGUGAGCUGUGAAAUAUAACUCAUUACUUACUGCACUCAAGGUCUCAGUACGCCUAAGUCUAAAAAUCGUAAAAAGUCUAAAAGUCUAAAAACUGAACUUUUCAACAGUAGAAAAAGUGAAAAUGGAGUGAAGGAGGGGAGAGAAGAGGGACGGCCUCAUAUUCCUCCUAUUGGCAGUGGGCAGCCCUGGCCAAACAUGAACUAACAAACACACCGAGAAACACGGGCGAAGACACGGGCAUUCACGUGCAAACUGUGCUUCAUGGGGAAGGAAUGGGAAUGACUCUAAAAACAUUCUCAUAUGUAAUCUAUUCCAGAAUCUUCUAAAAUGUAAACUCCAUGAGGGCAGGGGUUUUGUCUUCUUUUUUUUCACUAAUAGGUUCCCAGCACCUGAAACUUUGUC
rnacentral:lncRNA from 1 species